rnacentral:rRNA from 1 species
GGGCUUGACAUCCCACGAACCUGCCCGAAAAGGUGGGGUGCCUGCAAGGGAGCGUGGAGACAGGUGGUGCAUGGCUGUCGUCAGCUCGUGUCGUGAGAUGUUGGGUUAAGUCCCGCAGCGAGCGCAACCCUCACCCCUAGUUGCCACCGGGUUAAGCCGAGCACUCAAGGGGAACUGCCAGCGUCAAGCUGGAGGAAGGCGGGGAUGACGUCAAGUCAUCAUGCCCCUUACGCCCUGGGCUACACACGUGCUACAAUGGCCAGUACAAAGGGACGCGAGACUGCGAAGUGGAGCUAAUCCCAAAAAGCUGGUCUAAGUUCAGAUUGCAGUCUGCAACUCGACUGCAUGAAGGAGGAAUCGCUAGUAAUCGCGCAUCAGCCCGGCGCGGUGAAUACGUUCCCGGGCCUUGUACACACCGCCCGUCACACCACGAAAGCUGUCUGUACUCGAAGUCGCUGAG